GACGAACCGAGCGAACGUUGUUCGGAAUCACUGGGCUUAAAGGGCGCGUAGGCGGGUGCUCAAGUCUGUGGUGAAAUCCUCCGGCUCAACCGGAGAACUGCCAUGGAUACUGGGUGUCUCGAGGGUGGUAGGGGUAUGCGGAACUAUCGGUGGAGCGGUGAAAUGCGUUGAUAUCGAUAGGAACUCCGGUGGCGAAGGCGGCCCCCUGGACCGGAACUGACGCUGAGGCGCGAAAGCGUGGGUAGCAAACGGG
rnacentral:rRNA from 1 species